rnacentral:lncRNA from 1 species
CAGAGUGUAUUGCUCUAUGUAUUUUCAGAGUUGUAUAUUGUUUUAUGUAUUUUUGAUAGUUGAACUGAUGUGUAGUCUAUGUCCAGAGUUGUGUAUUGUUCUAUCUAUUUUUCGAUAGUUGAGCUGUUGUGUAGUUUAUGUCCAGAGAUGAAUCAUUGUUCUAUAUAUAAUUACAGAGUUAUAUUUCUCAUGUAAUGAAUUAGUAUCAUAUUUUUCAUGCUCUAAUAUACUUGGGAUGCAUGUUAUUAUUUUAGAUUUAUUAGUGUGUUAUGGCUUACGAUCUAUGUCAUCUGGGCCCUCAAGAUCGCAGUAUUCUUUUAUUACAAGAGAUCCAUUGAUCACAGACCAUCUUAGAUGGCAAUGUAAGCAUUCCAUUCC